UUAAAUUGAAGAGUUUGAUCAUGGCUCAGAUUGAACGCUGGCGGCAGGCCUAACACAUGCAAGUCGAACGGUAACAGGAAGAAGCUUGCUUCUUUGCUGACGAGUGGCGGACGGGUGAGUAAUGUCUGGGAAACUGCCUGAUGGAGGGGGAUAACUACUGGAAACGGUAGCUAAUACCGCAUAACGUCGCAAGACCAAAGAGGGGGACCUUCGGGCCUCUUGCCAUCGGAUGUGCCCAGAUGGGAUUAGCUUGUUGGU
rnacentral:rRNA from 1 species